AUGGAGGUCGAUCAGGACCUCCCCGGCUUCCGCUUCCACCCCACGGAGGAGGAGCUCCUCGGCUUCUACCUCUCCCGCGUCGCCCUCGGCAAGAAGCUCCACUUCGACAUCAUCGGCACCCUCAACAUCUACCGCCACGAUCCCUGGGAUCUUCCUGGGAUGGCAAAAAUCGGGGAGAGGGAGUGGUACUUCUUCGUGCCGCGUGACCGGAAGGCGGGGAGCGGUGGGCGGCCGAACCGGACGACGGAGCGGGGUUUCUGGAAGGCGACGGGCUCCGACAGGGCCAUCCGGAGCAGCGGUGACCCCAAGCGGGUCUUCGGGCUCAAGAAGACGCUCGUCUUCUACCAGGGCCGCGCGCCGCGGGGCACCAAGACGGACUGGGUCAUGAACGAGUACCGCCUCCCCGACACCGGCGCGCCGCCGCCCCAGGAGGACACGGUGCUGUGCAAGGUGUACCGGAAGGCCACCCCGCUAAAGGAGCUCGAGCAGAGAGCCUUUGCGAUGGAGGAGAUGAAACAGAGGUACGGCAGCAACGGUGGGUAUGGCUACGGCGGCGCGGCCAGAGCGUGCCCGGUCCCGGCUGCCAGCGACUUCUACCUGUCGUCCUCCGACGACGUCCAAGACAACUUCCUGAUCCCCUCCACCUCCUCCUCCUCGGUGGCGCUGUCUGGCAACACCAGUAGUCAUGACGCACCCAGCGAAGCUAAGAAGGAAGCAGACGUGGCCACGGUGACUCUGGCGUCGACGUCGUCUCUGCCGGAAGCGGGGAACGCGCCCUUCGUUCUGCAGCUCCCAGCCGCAAACCCACCCUGCGGUCUGCAGCUCCCGCCGGCGAACCAUGGGAUGUCAAACAUGUCCAGCCUGCAGCUACCGGCGGCGAGCCACGGGGAACUGCAACUGCCAGCGGCGACCAACCACGGAGUGUUCGACUGGCUGCAGGACCCGUUCCUGACGCAGCUGCGCAGCCCGUGGCAGGAUCAGCAUUGCAUGUCCCCAUACGCCCAUCUGCUAUAUUAA
rnacentral:rRNA from 1 species